AUUGAACGCUGGCGGCAUGCUUUACACAUGCAAGUCGAACGGCAACGAGGAGAAGCUUGCUUCUCUGUCGGCGAGUGGCGCACGGGUGAGUAUAGCAUCGGAACGUGCCAAGUAGUGGGGGAUAACCAAACGAAAGUUUGGCUAAUACCGCGUAAGCUCCAAGGAGGAAAGUAGGGGACCUAAAUAAGGCCUUACGCUAUUUGAUCGGCCGAUGUCGGAUUAGCUAGUUGGUGGGGUAAUGGCUCACCAAGGCAAUGAUCCGUAGCGGGUCUGAGAGGACGAUCCGCCACACUGGGACUGAGAAACGGCCCAGACUCCUACGGGAGGCAGCAGUGGGGAAUUUUGGACAAUGGGGGAAACCCUGAUCCAGCCAUGCCGCGUGUAUGAAGAAGGCCUUAGGGUUGUAAAGUACUUUUGUUAGGGAAGAAAAGCUAGUGUUUAAUAAAAAUUAGUGAUGACGGUACCUAAAGAAUAAGCACCGGCUAACUACGUG
rnacentral:rRNA from 1 species